rnacentral:rRNA from 1 species
UACGGGGGGGGCAAGCGUUGUUCGGAAUUACUGGGCGUAAAGGGCUCGUAGGUGGCCCAACUAAGUCAGACGUGAAAUCCCUCGGCUUAACCGGGGAACUGCGUCUGAUACUGGAUGGCUUGAGGUUGGGAGAGGGAUGCGGGAUUCCAGGUGUAGCGGUGGAAAUGCGUAGAUAUCUGGAGGAACACCGGUGGCGAAGGCGGCAUCCUGGACCAAUUCUGACGCUGAGGAGCGAAAGCCAGGGGAGCAAACGGG